UACGUAGGGCGCAAGCGUGUCCGGAAUUAUUGGGCGUAAAGAGCUCGUAGGCGGUUUGUCGCGUCUGCUGUGAAAACCUGAGGCUCAACCUCGGGCUUGCAGUGGGUACGGGCAGACUAGAGUGGCGGUAGGGGUGACUGGAAUUCCUGGUGUAGCAGUGAAAUGCGUAGAUAUCAGGAGGAAUACCGAUGGCGAAGGCAGGUCUCUGGGCUGACACUGACGUCAUGCACGAAAGCGUGGGGAGCAAACGGG
rnacentral:rRNA from 1 species